rnacentral:rRNA from 1 species
AUACGUAGGGUGCAAGCGUUGUCCGGAUUUAUUGGGCGUAAAGAGCUCGUAGGCGGUUUGUCGCGUCGGAUGUGAAAACCCAAUGGCUUAACCUUGGGCCUGCAUUCGAUACGGGCAGACUAGAGUGUGGUAGGGGAGACUGGAACUCCUGGUGUAGCGGUGGAAUGCGCAGAUAUCAGGAAGAACACCGAUGGCGAAGGCAGGUCUCUGGGCCACAACUGACGCUGAGGAGCGAAAGCGUGGGGAGCAAACAGGAUUAGAUACCCUGGUAGUCCACGCUGUAAACGGUGGGCGCUAGGUGUGGGGAUGGUUUCCACGAUCUCCGUGCCGUAGCUAACGCAUUAAGCGCCCCGCCUGGGGAGUACGGCCGCAAGGCUAAA